GACGAACGCUGGCGGCGUGCUUAACACAUGCGAGUCGAACGAAGAGCGAUGGAAGCUUGCUUCUAUCAAUCUUAGUGGCGAACGGGUGAGUAACGCGUAAUCAACCUGCCCUUCAGAGGGGGACAACAGUUGGAAACGACUGCUAAUACCGCAUACGAUCUAACCUCGGCAUCGAGGAUAGAUGAAAGGUGGCCUCUACAUGUAAGCUAUCACUGAAGGAGGGGAUUGCGUCUGAUUAGCUAGUUGGAGGGGUAACGGCCCACCAGGGCGAUGAUCAGUAGCAGGUGUGGAAGGAGGGAGGGCCACAUUGGGACUGAGAAGGGGCCCAGACUCCUACGGGAGGCAGCAGUGGGGAAUUUUCCGGAAUGGACGAAGGUCUGGCGGAGCAACGGCGCGUGAGUGAUGACGGCCUUGGGGUUGUAAAGCUCUUUUAAGGGGGAGGAAGGGCCUUCUUGGGAAAAGUAGGAAGGAUUGACGGUACCGGAAAAGAAAGCCACGGCUAACUACGG
rnacentral:rRNA from 1 species